CUGGAGAAUAUAACUGAGUCACAACUCUACUUUUAUGAGAUCAGGGAAGAAUAAAAACUUUAUUUACCUACAUGGUUGCCUGCGGUUCCUAAAAUGAAGCAGAGCUCUAAGACUUUCAGAUUUGGUGUCAGAAGUGAGGAUCCCAAGUAAGAGUCCUGUGACCCCCCCUGCCAGGAAUACCAGGCAACAAGAAACCAGAGAUUGGGUCUUCCGGAAACCACAUCAGAAGAAGACUGCCUUUGAACCCCAUUGGAAGGGGUUAUACCAAGUUAUUCUCACUACUUACUUGAAGUACUUACUUGAAAUAAGACUUCAAGGCUUCAAACUUUGGAACCACAUCUCACAACUCAAAAAGGAGAAGUUUCUGAAGCCCAGGAACCAUCAAAAGUCUACAUAGGCACAAGUUAAUCAACUUUGCUAGCUUGGGGCCCAAAUAAAAAGAUCUGUGGGCCCCAGAUCUUUGCUCAUGGCCACAGGGCAUGGCAGUGCUCCUAAAAUUGUGGUUGAUGGUGCAGCAGCCUGAGAUUUCCAACCUGAGUCAGUGGUGAAGGAGCACAUUGUGGCAAUGCUGUGAGGAGAAAAUUGGAUUCCAUUCUUCUGGGUUCAUUCCAAGGGAGACACGGAAAUCCUCUCAGAGGGAAUGAACCUGAGCCAAUCUGACUAUCAGAACACUUGGGCUUUUCAGUAGAGGCAAGUGAAGCUCUGAGUCCCAGAAGGAGAGCUCAUGUCCAGUGCAGCACCCCCUAAAAAUAUAAAUUUGGUAUUGGCUAGCAACAUCUUGCCAGGACUUGUUUAUAUUUCUAGACUUCUGUGAAUGUUA
rnacentral:lncRNA from 1 species